CCCAGUAAACGGCGGCCGUAACUAUAACGGUCCUAAGGUAGCGAAAUUCCUUGUCGGGUAAGUUCCGACCCGCACGAAAGGCGUAAUGAUUUGAGCACUGUCUCGACAAUGCAUCCGGUGAAAUUGAAGUACCAGUGAAGAUGCUGGUUACCCGCGCCAGGACGGAAAGACCCCAUGGAGCUUUACUCCAGUUUGAUACUGGGAUUCGGUACUGCAUGUACAGGAUAGGUGGGAGACAAAGAAGGAUGGACGCCAGUCUGUCCGGAGUCGCUGUUGGGAUACCACCCCUGUAGUACUGGGUUUCUAACCAGUUGCCAUGAACUGGCAAUGGGACAAUGUCAGGCGGGGAGUUUGACUGGGGCGGUCGCCUCCGAAAGGGUAUCGGAGGCGCUCAAAGGUUCCCUCAGAAUGGUUGGAAACCAUUUGAAGAGUGCAAAGGCAGAAGGGAGCUUGACUGCGACACCGACGGGUGGAGCAGGUACGAAAGUAGGACUUAGUGAUCCGGUGGUAUAAAGUGGGAUUGCCAUCGCUCAACGGAUAAAAGCUACCCUGGGGAUAACAGGCUUAUCACUCCCAAGAGUUCACAUCGACGGAGUGGUUUGGCACCUCGAUGUCGGCUCAUCGCAUCCUGGGGCUGUAGCAGGUCCCAAGGGUUGGGCUGUUCGCCCAUUAAAGCGGUACGCGAGCUGGGUUCAGAACGUCGUGAGACAGUUCGGUCCCUAUCCGGCGCGGGCGGAGGAUAUUUGAGAGGAGCUGUCCUUAGUACGAGAGGACCGGGAUGGACGGACCACUGGUGUAUCUGUUGUCGACCAACGGCAUGGCAGAGUAGCCAAGUCUGGAAGGGAUAAACGCUGAAGGCAUCUAAGCGUGAAGCCCCCCUCAAGAUGAGAUAUCCCUCCUUCGGGAGUAAGACCCCUUGAAGACUACAAGGUAGAUAGGGCAGAGGUGGAAGCAUGGCAACAUGUGGAGCUGACUGUUACUAAUAGGUCGAGGGCUUAAUCUG
rnacentral:rRNA from 1 species